rnacentral:lncRNA from 1 species
AUUAAUUUUCCUCGAGAACACGCAGCACAAGGAAAUUCACUACUAGGAAAAACCCUUUUAUCUUUGAGAGGAUGACCAGUAGAAUUUUCAAUAAUACGACGCAUCAUAGAAGUACCUGGAUGACCGAGUCUUUCAUGCCAAAGCAUAAGUGAUUUGGGAUCUAUGAUUUUUGGAAUCAUAAUAGUAUGAGACUCAAUUGCUCUAAUUUUUAUAGUAUAUAAUCCAGAAGAAAUUGAAUAAAGUUUUUCUAAGAUAUUCUUUUUUUUCAGAAAUAGUAGAAGUAAUGAGAAGAUAUUCAUUAUCAUUCUCAUUGGUUGUUUCAAUGUGAAAACCAUUUAGUCGAAUAUCUUUAAAACUAAGCAAAUUUCUUCUUGAUUUACUAGAAUAUAGAGCAUUUUUGAUAAAAACUUGUGUCUCAUUUGGUAGCAAGAAACUAGCUUUUCCAAAUCCCUCGAUUAAAUUUGAUGUGCCAGAGAUAGUUCCUACAUUUCCCUUAGCUUUGAUCAGUUGUGAAAAAUAUUUCUAACUUUGAAGGAUUGUAUGAGUUGUUGCACUGUCUGCUAAACAUAUAUCCUCCACAUCCAUUAAA